rnacentral:rRNA from 1 species
UACAGAGGUCCCAAGCGUUGUUCGGAUUCACUGGGCGUAAAGGGUGCGUAGGUGGUGAGGUAAGUCGGAUGUGAAAGCUCCGAGCUCAACUCGGAAAUGGCAUUGGAAACUACCUUGCUCGAGGGUUUGAGGGGGGACUGGAAUACUUGGUGUAGCAGUGAAAUGCGUAGAUAUCAAGUAGAACACCAGUGGCGAAGGCAGCCCCCUGGGUCGAUACUGACGCUCAUGCACGAAAGCGUGGGUAGCAAACAGG